UACGUAGGAGGCGAGCGUUGUCCGGAAUUACUGGGUGUAAAGCGCGUGUAGGCGGCCUGCCAAGUCUGCUGUGAAAGCGCCUGGCUUAACCGGGCGAGGUCGGUGGAAACUGGCGGGCUGGAGGCCGGUAGAGGGGGGUGGAAUUCCCGGUGUAGUGGUGAAAUGCGUAGAGAUCGGGAGGAACACCAGUGGCGAAGGCGGCCCCCUGGGCCGCGCCUGACGCUGAGGCGCGACAGCGUGGGGAGCAAACAGG
rnacentral:rRNA from 1 species